rnacentral:lncRNA from 1 species
AACUAAAUAAAAGGGAAAAAAGAAACUUAUUAAGCGUGCAAGAUAUUUUGCCUGAUUUCAUAAUUGAACGAUAGAUUAAGAAGUGGUGCUUUUAUAGUCUUAUUCAUUUUAGGUAAGGCACAUAAUUAAUUUCAAACUCGCAAAAAACUUCCUAAUUGAGCAACAAAAGUGAGUGCCAGAAACAAUUGUCUAACUUAGCUAAAACGAUUGGAUUUUUCUGUGGCUAGCUCUAAUGCUUAAAGCACCAAAAUCCCACUCUCUUUUAUUUGCAACCUAAGGGACGUGUAGUUUAAUUUAUUUAUACCAUAGUGGUCUCUCCACUUAUUGUCAUCUGUCUUCUCUUCUAUCAAUUUAUCAAACUUUAUCGUGUUUGUGACUUUGUGCUCUCUUUGUUAAAUUCUAUUAUCCAUUUGUUGCUCACUUCUGCAAAAACUGGCUUGAUCGCACUUGAAGCUACAAUUUAAAUGUCCCAUCAUAGUUUUUUAUUAUACUGUCUCAUAUUUUUCCAAUUGGUCAAAACAAACUCCAGAGUCUCAUAAGGCCCACUAUAUUAGUAGUAGUUUUUUAUU